AUCUUUUUAAUAUAAAAUGUAUAUUUGACUUCCAAUCAAAAUGACUCAGAAAGAGAAAAGAUA
rnacentral:tRNA from 1 species